rnacentral:rRNA from 1 species
GCGCCGAUGGAGUGCCUCGCGGCCUAUCAGCUAGUUGGUGAGGUAACGGCUCACCAAGGCGACGACGGGUAGCUGGUCUGAGAGGAUGGCCAGCCACAUUGGGACUGAGACACGGCCCAG